GGAAUUUUAGUAAAACAAUUACAUAGCCUUGUCAAAGCUAAGCUACAGGUUUAAAUCCCGUAAAUUUCU
ensembl:Mt_tRNA